rnacentral:tRNA from 1 species
UGUGGCUCAGUGGUAGAGCACUCAUCUAGCGUGUGUGAGGCACUGGGUUUGAUCCCCAGCA